CUCUGUUGGGCAGGACUGGCGUUAGCAAGCGGGGAAGUGCAGUACGUGCCCAACGGAGAGGGCUUGGCUUGUGAUGAAGAGCAUGACUGAAAAGGAUCCACCUCUUCUCAAAAAGGGGAGGGAGGGGCACCAACCAAAGAAGUCACAUCACAUAGGUUGUGUCUCAAAUGGCACCCUACUCCCUAUUGUUGUGCACUACUUUUGACCUGAGUCCUAUGGGCUCUUGAUAAAAGUAGUGCACUAGGAAAUAGGGCGCCAUUUGGAACGUAUACCCGCUGUGGGCAAACAGAGACCUUCCCUCUGUAAGGGUGACAGAAACAACACACUCCAGGAAAUGGCCGUGUCCAGCCUCAGGAUCACCACGCAGAGAAGGGCAUCCCUGUGGCGGUAACGUGAUGUUCGGAGCGGAGUGCCUGCACAGGACUGUCGUCUCUGCUAACAGGCUUCUUAUGUCCACACCGGUGGCUCUGCAGUGCUUCCCUUGGCUUCCCCUGGCCCGAGGCCCCCCUGGUGGCUCUGCAGUGCUUCCCCUGGCCCCCCUGGUGGCUCUGCAGUGCUUCCCCUGGCCCGAGGCCCCCCUGGUGACUCUGCAGUGCCUCCCCUGGCCCGAGGCCCCCCUGCUGGCUCUGCAGUGCUUCCCCUGGCCCGAGGCCCCCCUGGUGGCCCCCUUGUUCAUAGUUGUAAUGGGAAAUAAUGUAUAAUGUGUUUAUUAACUGUCUCUGUACCCUAUAUGACUGAACUGCUUGUAUGACAUGACCGAAUCUGCAGUAUGUCCAGGAUGCAGCGAUGUCUUUAAUAAGGUGUCUAUUCUGUGUUUUAAUCUCAACCCUUUAAU
ensembl:lncRNA